rnacentral:piRNA from 1 species
CUUUAAGGCUUUACAAGGUUCUAAGACUGG